rnacentral:rRNA from 1 species
UACAGAGGCCUCGAGCGUUAGGCGGAAUCACUGGGCUUAAAGCGUGUGUAGGCGGACUUCUAAGUACCUUGUGAAAUCCCACGGCUCAACCGUGGAACUGCUUGGUAUACUGCGGGUCUUGAGCCACCUAGGGGCAAGUGGAACAAACGGUGGAGCGGUGAAAUGCGUAGAUAUCGUUUGGAACGCCAAUGGUGAAAACAACUUGCUGGGGGUGUGCUGACGCUGAGACGCGAAAGCCAGGGGAGCAAACGGG